GACAGAGGUGCCGAGCGUUAGGCGGAAUCACUGGGCGUAAAGCGCACGUAGGCGGAUCGUUAAGUCGGGGGUGAAAUCCUGGAGCUCAACUCCAGAACUGCCUUCGAUACUGGCGAUCUAAAGUCCGGAAGAGGUGAGUGGAACUCCUAGUGUAGAGGUGGAAUUCGUAGAUAUUAGGAAGAACACCAGUGGCGAAGGCGGCUCACUGGUCCGGUACUGACGCUGAGGUGCGAAAGCGUGGGGAGCAACAGG
rnacentral:rRNA from 1 species